GAUUAAGUUAUUAAGGGCGCACGGUGGAUGCCUUGGCACUAGAAGCCGAUGAAGGACGUUACUAACGACGAUAUGCUUUGGGGAGCUGUAAGUAAGCUUUGAUCCAGAGAUUUCCGAAUGGGGAAACCCAGCAUGAGUUAUGUCAUGUUAUCGAUAUGUGAAUACAUAGCAUAUCAGAAGGCACACCCGGAGAACUGAAACAUCUUAGUACCCGGAGGAAGAGAAAGAAAAUUCGAUUCCCUUAGUAGCGGCGAGCGAAACGGGAAGAGCCCAAACCAACAAGCUUGCUUGUUGGGGUUGUAGGACACUCUAUACGGAGUUACAAAGGACGACAUUAGACGAAUCAUCUGGAAAGAUGAAUCAAAGAAGGUAAUAAUCCUGUAGUCGAAAAUGUUGUCUCUCUUGAGUGGAUCCUGAGUACGACGGAGCACGUGAAAUUCCGUCGGAAUCUGGGAGGACCAUCUCCUAAGGCUAAAUACUCUCUAGUGACCGAUAGUGAACCAGUACCGUGAGGGAAAGGUGAAAAGCACCCCGGAAGGGGAGUGAAAUAGAACCUGAAACCGUGUGCUUACAAGUAGUCAGAGCCCGUUAAUGGGUGAUGGCGUGCCUUUUGUAGAAUGAACCGGCGAGUUACGAUUUGAUGCAAGGUUAAGCAGUAAAUGUGGAGCCGUAGCGAAAGCGAGUCUGAAUAGGGCGUUUAGUAUUUGGUCGUAGACCCGAAACCAGGUGAUCUACCCUUGGUCAGGUUGAAGUUCAGGUAACACUGAAUGGAGGACCGAACCGACUUACGUUGAAAAGUGAGCGGAUGAACUGAGGGUAGCGGAGAAAUUCCAAUCGAACCUGGAGAUAGCUGGUUCUCUCCGAAAUAGCUUUAGGGCUAGCCUCAAGUGAUGAUUAUUGGAGGUAGAGCACUGUUUGGACGAGGGGCCCCUCUCGGGUUACCGAAUUCAGACAAACUCCGAAUGCCAAUUAAUUUAACUUGGGAGUCAGAACAUGGGUGAUAAGGUCCGUGUUCGAAAGGGAAACAGCCCAGACCACCAGCUAAGGUCCCAAAAUAUAUGUUAAGUGGAAAAGGAUGUGGCGUUGCCCAGACAACUAGGAUGUUGGCUUAGAAGCAGCCAUCAUUUAAAGAGUGCGUAAUAGCUCACUAGUCGAGUGACACUGCGCCGAAAAUGUACCGGGGCUAAACAUAUUACCGAAGCUGUGGAUUGUCCUUUGGACAAUGGUAGGAGAGCGUUCUAAGGGCGUUGAAGCAUGAUCGUAAGGACAUGUGGAGCGCUUAGAAGUGAGAAUGCCGGUGUGAGUAGCGAAAGACGGGUGAGAAUCCCGUCCACCGAUUGACUAAGGUUUCCAGAGGAAGGCUCGUCCGCUCUGGGUUAGUCGGGUCCUAAGCUGAGGCCGACAGGCGUAGGCGAUGGAUAACAGGUUGAUAUUCCUGUACCACCUAUAAUCGUUUUAAUCGAUGGGGGGACGCAGUAGGAUAGGCGAAGCGUGCGAUUGGAUUGCACGUCUAAGCAGUAAGGCUGAGUAUUAGGCAAAUCCGGUACUCGUUAAGGCUGAGCUGUGAUGGGGAGAAGACAUUGAGUCUUCGAGUCGUUGAUUUCACACUGCCGAGAAAAGCCUCUAGAUAGAAAAUAGGUGCCCGUACCGCAAACCGACACAGGUAGUCAAGAUGAGAAUUCUAAGGUGAGCGAGCGAACUCUCGUUAAGGAACUCGGCAAAAUGACCCCGUAACUUCGGGAGAAGGGGUGCUCUUUAGGGUUAACGCCCAGAAGAGCCGCAGUGAAUAGGCCCAAGCGACUGUUUAUCAAAAACACAGGUCUCUGCUAAACCGUAAGGUGAUGUAUAGGGGCUGACGCCUGCCCGGUGCUGGAAGGUUAAGAGGAGUGGUUAGCUUCUGCGAAGCUACGAAUCGAAGCCCCAGUAAACGGCGGCCGUAACUAUAACGGUCCUAAGGUAGCGAAAUUCCUUGUCGGGUAAGUUCCGACCCGCACGAAAGGCGUAACGAUUUGGGCACUGUCUCAACGAGAGACUCGGUGAAAUCAUAGUACCUGUGAAGAUGCAGGUUACCCGCGACAGGACGGAAAGACCCCGUGGAGCUUUACUGUAGCCUGAUAUUGAAAUUCGGCACAGCUUGUACAGGAUAGGUAGGAGCCUUUGAAACGUGAGCGCUAGCUUACGUGGAGGCGCUGGUGGGAUACUACCCUAGCUGUGUUGGCUUUCUAACCCGCACCACUUAUCGUGGUGGGAGACAGUGUCAGGCGGGCAGUUUGACUGGGGCGGUCGCCUCCUAAAAGGUAACGGAGGCGCUCAAAGGUUCCCUCAGAAUGGUUGGAAAUCAUUCAUAGAGUGUAAAGGCAUAAGGGAGCUUGACUGCGAGACCUACAAGUCGAGCAGGGUCGAAAGACGGACUUAGUGAUCCGGUGGUUCCGCAUGGAAGGGCCAUCGCUCAACGGAUAAAAGCUACCCCGGGGAUAACAGGCUUAUCUCCCCCAAGAGUUCACAUCGACGGGGAGGUUUGGCACCUCGAUGUCGGCUCAUCGCAUCCUGGGGCUGUAGUCGGUCCCAAGGGUUGGGCUGUUCGCCCAUUAAAGCGGUACGCGAGCUGGGUUCAGAACGUCGUGAGACAGUUCGGUCCCUAUCCGUCGUGGGCGUAGGAAAUUUGAGAGGAGCUGUCCUUAGUACGAGAGGACCGGGAUGGACAUACCUCUGGUGUACCAGUUGUCGUGCCAACGGCAUAGCUGGGUAGCUAUGUGUGGACGGGAUAAGUGCUGAAAGCAUCUAAGCAUGAAGCCCCCCUCAAGAUGAGAUUUCCCAACUUCGGUUAUAAGAUC
rnacentral:rRNA from 3 species